AAAUAGCAACAUGGGUUGGAGACCAUGAGUUGUUGCGUGGGAAAUUAAAAUAAUAAUUUCUAUGUUCCAAGAUAUAGUUGGAGAAUCUUCCACAUAUCUAUGAACUGCCUGGAUAGGUAAAUCCAAACAAAGCAUCACUAGCAACCUAUACAGUUGAAGUAAAAGUAAUUAUUGCCUAAGAAGCAAUAAAACAGGGUUGUUUAAAGUUCUUCACUGAACUUGGGUAGAUCACCUAUCUGCUGGCUUGAUGGUUCUUCAUUGAAAAAAUGCGUAGAACCACUCUUGAAGCAAGAAAAACGUCUGCUAACUCACUACUACAAAAGUUAGAAUAAGAAACACUGAAUAGAGAACGGUUAAGUUUGCUAAGCGUUAUCUAGAGUUAUAGAGUACGCAUUUCUAUUAUAACAGUUGCGUGAAGAAAAGAAUAGAGUACGCUACCUUACCUAACCGUCUUGUAUUCUUUAUCAUAAUAAAAAAAAUUAAUUAAAUUAAAAAUACUUAAUAAAAUAUAAAGCAGUGUUUAUGAUAACCGUUGUGUAUUUUGGCUUAAACAUAUUUUAAUAAAAAAAAGCCGUAAUUACUUUCAUUGUUAGCGGCAUUAUUACUUAAACCUAAUAAUGUUAAAAAAAUAUAAAAAAAAUUUGAAACCUAUGUCAGGUGACGAUAUAUCCCCAAAAGCACAAAAAAUUAUAUUAAAUAAAAAAACUAAGAGCAUGGUGGCUGGGUGGGUAACUGGAGAUCGAGAACUCCGCAAAAGCAAAGAGCACUUCAUUUCCACCGUCUUUCAUCUGCCUCCUAUAUUUACCUUCGGCUUUAACGCGCCGCCUUUCCCACCGCCUCCCAACCUCCGAUGAACGCCGAUUGCUUCCAUCAUUUCCGAGGAAUUCCACCAGACUAACAGAGGCUGAUCUUUGCUGGAAAGAAGUUUGAAGGUGAUCACUCUUGCUGACAACACCAUUCAUAAGGUUAAGACCAAAGAAGAAGAUUAAGUAGAGAAAUUGGUGUUCGGGCAACGGUUUCCAUGAAAUUGAUGUUCUAAAGUAGUUGUUUUACUAAGGUAUCUAUUAGCCUUCUGAUAGUGUGCAUAUGCUAUCAGGGGUCACCUGUAUCUUCGAGCUUGUGAGCUCCAGAAAGAAGGUUUUGUACUCAAUUCACUUUUUUAUUGAGACUUGAGAUCCUACUUGAAGUAUGAUUCUUCUGUUGAGAUUUUAGAUCAGAUUUAUCAUGGCAUGCAUUUGAUUCUGUCAUAUAUAUUGUAUACUAACUAUGAAGAAAUAUUCACAAUCCAUCUAUUUUGGCUUGGGCGUAAUCGCAAUAGCGAGUUAUGUGUUUCUCUUACAGUCUUACUACUUAAUGGUACAUGCAAUUUGAUUAUUUACACAUUCAGCUCUUAAUUUCAGCAUGUCAAAACAAAAGAGUAUGAUGUUGUGGAAGUGUAUUGCUGUUUUCAGAUGACUGAAACUCACUAUUCAACCCAUGUCCAGAUUGUGUGUGCAAAAGUUCGAGAAGGUGAUCAAUGCAUUUGAAUCGACAAAUGUUCAUUCCUGAAAAGUAUUUUACCAAAACUCCCACGUAUUCUCAAACUACGAUUGACGAGCUAAGGGAGAGGUGAAUCUCAUACGUUAUCGAAUAUCACCAACCAAAUAACGAUUAAGAUGAAGAUGAUGAUGACGAUGAUCUAGUGUGACUUAAGCUAGCUGAGAUGGUUGUUGCAGAGUCUGUUCCUGCUGCAGACGAUGUUGUUCCUGCUGCAGACACUGCUGUUACGCUGUUGUUCCUGUUGCAGACGUUCUUGUACCUGCUGCAGACGUUGUUGUACCUGCUGCAGGCGCUGCUGUUGCUGGAGAAUUUGUUCCUGCUGUUGUUGUUGAGUUUUUUAUUUUUACAGUGAUAUUGGAUUUUUAUUUUUGCCGUACCUUGUGUAGAUCAUUUAUUUUGUUAUUGAAUGAAAAAUAUUAUUUUGUUAUUGAA